rnacentral:rRNA from 1 species
GAGACUCCUACGGGAGGCAGCAGUGGGGAAUAUUGCACAAUGGGCGCAAGCCUGAUGCAGCCAUGCCGCGUGUAUGAAGAAGGCCUUCGGGUUGUAAAGUACUUUCAGCAGUGAGGAAGGUGGGUAUGUUAAUAGCAUAUUCAUUUGACGUUAGCUGCAGAAGAAGCACCGGCUAACUCCGUGCCAGCAGCCGCGGUAAUACGGAGGGUGCGAGCGUUAAUCGGAAUUACUGGGCGUAAAGCGCAUGCAGGUGGUUUGUUAAGUCAGAUGUGAAAGCCCGGGGCUCAACCUCGGAAUUGCAUUUGAAACUGGCAAACUAGAGUACUGUAGAGGGGGUAGAAUUUCAGGUGUAGCGGUGAAAUGCGUAGAGAUCUGAAGGAAUACCGGUGGCGAAGGCGGCCCCCUGGACAGAUACUGACACUCAGAUGCGAAAGCGUGGGGAGCAAACAGGAUUAGAUACCCUGGUAG